AAUGGAACUAUUCAAUGAUCCCUUCCCCAAAUUCUUCAUCCGUCAAACUACUCAUACAGGAGUUUUGCUUUCUUCAGGUGCACCUCAAGAAACACAUGUUUCUCAGGAGACUGAUAUACUAACCAAUCUCUAUAAUUAUUUCUAAAUCCUGUCCUUUCAGAGUCUUGUUCUCUCCACUGGUCAUGUGAGGUUCUUAAUCCUCACUUUGCAUCAAAAUCAUUAGAUUAAAAAACAAAACAAAACAAAACCCUAAAACUACAAUACCAAGAACAAUUGAAGCUAAUAUGAAGCCAAGACUGAGAAACACUAACUCAUUGUACUGGGGACUAAACAUCAAGAAUCGCAGAGGAAGGCCUGGAGCUAAGAAUAAAACUCUACCUCACGUUCUAUGUCUAAAGAAGUUACAGAUGUAUGGGACAGACAUCCUCAUGCAGGCAUUAAAGGCAGUUAAUACUUCAGCAGACUCACUUCUCUGAUUAAAGACUUGGAGAAAACAGAGGUCACGCUGGGUGGGUGGCUCACACCUGUAAUCCCAUCACUGCCAAGGCAGGCGGAUCACCUGAGGUCAGGAGUUCAACACCAGCCUGGCCAACAAGAUGAAACCCUAUCUCUACUUUAAAAAAAAGAAAAGAAAAAUUAGCUGGGUGUGAUGCCACACACCUGAAAUCCCAGCUACUUGGGGGGCUGAGGCAGGAGAAUUGCUUGAACUUGGGAGGCGGAGGUUUCAGUGAGCCAAGUUAUGCCACUGCACCCCAGCCUGGGUGACAAAGUGAAACCCUGUCUCAAAAAAAAAAAAGAAAGAAAGAAAGAAAAGAAAGAAAACAGGGGUUAUCUCUUAGGGAGAUGCAUUUUGUGGAGGGCUGACUAUCCCUUCCACCAUCUCUUACUGUUUGGGGAGUUAGAAUGUGACCUAGGCAUUCCACAUGAACUAAAAUGUGCUUCCCACCAACACCACUAAGCUGGGGAUUGGAGAUUGGCUCUGAUCUGAAAGUUGUCACAUCAUUGACCUGACACAGCACCUGAUCCUUGGGAGAGCAGAGGGAGGAGAGAGGUGCUGAAGCUGAGAAGUGCCAGAGGACAGACUGCAUUGCCACUCUUUGGAGUAGCAAGAAUAAAGGGUUUCGCAUGGCACUGAUAAAUACCAAGGAAGGUGGCGGGAGGCUUAAGUCUUCGUGCUUUCCCAUGAAACUGGGUACUAUGGUAUGAAGAAGAUUGUUACACCUGAGAGAGGUCUCCACCUGAAGCCUGGUCAGAAAUAUCCUAUAGAGUCCACUGAAGAACCAGCAUAUGUGUCUCAAGAGAGACCACAUUCAGACUCCUUCCUAUGGAUUCAACCAAAAGACAGUCUGUUGGCCAAAUAAACAGCCACAACCUACGGAGAGAAGUGAGGACAAGACAACCUCACUAGAGGCAGGCAGGUAAGAGGAGUCAAUGUCAGCCUCAGUUUCUACAUCAGAGGGUAACUGUCAGGCCUCUGAGCCCAAGCCAACCCAUCGCAUCCCCUGUGACUUGCACAUAUACGCCCAGAUGGCCUGAAGUAACUGAAGAAUCACAAAAGAAGUGAAUAUGCCCUGCCCCACCUUAACUGAUGACAUUCCACCACAAAAGAAGUGUAAAUGGCCGGUCCUUGCCUUAACUGAUGACAUUACCUUGUGAAAGUCCUUUUCCUGGCUCAUCCUGGCUCAAAAAGCACCCCCACUGAGCAUCUUGCGACCCCCACUCCUGCCCGCCAGAGAACAAACCCCCUUUGACUGUAAUUUUCCUUUACCUACCCAAAUCCUAUAAAACGGCCCCACCCUUAUCUCCCUUCACUGAUUCUCUUUUUGGACUCAGCCUGCCUGCACCCAGGUGAAAUAAAGAGCCAUGUUGCUCACACAAAGCCUGUUUGGUGGUCUCUUCACACCGACGCACAUGAAAUUUGGUGCCGUGACUCAGAUCGGGGGACCUCCCUUGGGAGAUCAAUCCGCUGUACUCCUGUUCUUUGCUCCUUGAGAAAGAUCCACCUAUGACCUCAGGUCCUCAGACCGACCAGCCCAAGGAACAUCUCACCAAUUUUAAAUCGGAUCUUCUCGGCUUAGCGGCUGAAGACUGACACUGCCGGAUCACCUCGGAAGCCCCCUAGACCAUCAUGGACGCCGAGCUUCAGGUAACUCUCACAGUGGAAGGUAAGUCCGUCCCCUUCUUAAUCAAUAGGGAGGCUACCCACUCCACAUUACCUUCUUUUCAAGGGCCUGUUUCCCUUGCUUCCAUAACUGUUGUGGGUAUUGACAGCCAGGCUUCUAAACCUCUUAAAACUCCCCAACUCUGGUGCCAACUUAGACAAUACUCUUUUAAGCACUCCUUUUUUAGUUAUCCCCACCUGCCCUGUUCCCUUAUUAGGCCGAGACACUUUAACUAAAUUAUCUGCUUCCCUGACUAUUCCUGGACUACAGCUAUAUCUCAUUGCCGCCCUUCUGCCCAAUCCAAAGCCUCCUUUGUGUCCUCCUCUUGUAUCCCCCCACCUUAACCCACAAGUAUAAGAUACCUCUACUCCCUCCUUGGCGACCGAUCAUGCACCCCUUACCAUCUCAUUAAAACCUAAUCACCCUUACCCCACUCAACACCAAUAUCCCAUCCCACAGCAUGCUUUGAAAAGAUUAAAGCCUGUUAUCACUCACCUGCUACAGCACGGCCUUUUAAAACCUAUAAACUCUCCUUACAAUUCCCCCAUUUUACCUGUCCUAAAACCAGACAAGCCUUCCAAGUUAGCUCAGGAUCUGCGCCUUAUCGACCAAAUUGUUUUGCCUAUCCACCCUGUGGUGCCCAACCCAUACACUCUUUUGUCCUCAAUACCUUCCUCCACAACUCACUAUUCUGUGCUUGAUCUUAAAGAUGCUUUUUUCACUAUUCCCCUGCACCCCUCGUCCCAGCCUCUCUUUGCUUUCACUUAGACUGACCCUGAGACCCAUUAGACUCAGCAAAUUACCUAGGCUGUACUGCCGCAAGGCUUCAUAGACAGCCCCCAUUACUUCAGUCAAGCCCAAAUUUUAUCCUCAUCUGUUACCUAUCUCGGCAUAAUUCUCAUAAAAACAUACAUGCUUUCCCUGCUGAUCAUGUCCGAUUAAUCUCCCAAACCUCAAUCCCUUACAAAACAGCAACUCCUUUCCUUCCUAGGCAUAGUUAGUGUGGUCAGAAUUCUUACACAAGAGCCAGGACCGCACCCUGUAGCCUUUCUGUGCAAACAACUUGACCUUACUGUUUUAGCCUAGCACUCAUGUCUGCGUGCAGCAGCUACCACUGCUUUAAAAAUUUUAGAGGCCCUCAAAAUCACAAACUAUGCUCAACUCACUCUUUACAGUUCUCAUAACUUCCAAAAUCUAUUUUCUUCCUCAUACCUGACGCAUAUACUUUCUGCUUCCCGGCUCCUUCAGCUGUACUCACUCUUUGUUGAGUUUCCCACAAUUACCAUUGUUCCUGGCCCGGACUUCAAUCCAGCCUCCCACAUUAUUCCUGAUACCACACCUGACCCCCAUGACUGUAUCUCUCUGAUCCACCUGACAUUCACCCCAUUUCCCCAAAUUUCCUUCUUUCCUGUUCCUCACCCUGAUCACGCUUGAUUUAUUGAUGGCGGUUCCACCAGGCCUAAUCGCCACACACCAGCAAAGGCAGGUUAUUCUAUAGUACAAGCCACUAGCCCGCCUCUUAGAACCUCUCAUUUCCUUUCCAUCGUGGAAAUCUAUCCUCAAGGAAAUAACUUCUCAGUGUUCCAUCUUCUAUUCUACUACUCCUCUGGGAUUAUUCACGCCCCCUACCUUCCCUACACAUCAAGCUCGAGGAUUUGCCCCCACCCAGGACUGGCAAAUUAGCUUUACUCAACAUGCCCGAGUCAGGAAAUUAAAAUACCUCUUAGUCUAAAUAGACACUUUCACUGAAUAAGUAAAGGCCUUUCAUACAGGGUCUGAGAAGGCCACCGCAGUCAUUUCUUCCCUUCUGUCAGACAUAAUUCCUCAGUUUAGCCUUCCCACCUCAAUACAGUCUGAUAACAGACGAGCCUUUAUUAGUCAAAUCAGCCAAGCAGUUUUUCAGGCUCUUAGUAUUCACUGAAACCUUUAUAUCCCUUAUGGUCCUCCAUCUUCAAGAAAAGUAGAAUGGACUAAAGGUCUUUUAAAAACACACCUCACCAAGCUCAGCCACCAACUUAAAAAAGACUGGACAAUACUUCUACCACUUUCCCUUCUCAGAAUUCAGGCCUGUCCUCAGAAUGCUACAGGGUACAGCCCAUUUAAGCUCCUGUAUAGAUGCUCCUUUUUAUUAGGCCCCAGUCUCAUUCCAGACAACAGACCAACUUAGACUGUGCCCCGCCCCCCCCCAAAAAAAAACUUGUCAUCCUACUAUUUUCUGUCUAGUCAUACUCCUAUUCACCAUUCUGAACUACUCAUACAUGCCCUGCUCUUGUUUACACUGCCGGUUUACACUGUUUUUCCAAGCCAUCACAGCUGAUAUCUCCUGGUGCUAUCCCCAAACUGCCACUCUUAACUCUUGAAGUAAAUAAAUAAUCUUUGCUGGCAGGACUCUGCCGAAUCUCCUUAAGCACUCUCUAAUCAGAUAUCCUGAGUUGUCCCAAUUCUUAGACCUUUUAUACCUGUUUUUCUCCUUCUGUUAUUCCAUUUAGUUUUUCAAUUCAUACAAAACCGUAUCCAGGCCAUCACCAAUCAUUCUAUACGACAAAUGUUUCUUCUAACAUCCCCACAAUAUCACCCCUUACCACAAGACCUCCCUUCAGCUUAAUCUCUCCCACUCUAGGUUCCCACGCCGCCCCUAAUCCCGCUUGAAGCAGCGCUGAGAAACAUCGCCCAUUCUCUCUCCAUACCACCCCCCAAAAGUUUUCGCCGCCCCAACACUUCAACACUAUUUUGUUUUAUUUUUCUUAUUAAUAUAAGAAGGCAGGAAUGUCAGGCCUCUGAGCCCAAGCCAAGCCAUCGCAUCCCCUGUGACUUGCACGUAUACGCCCAGAUGGCCUGAAAUAACUGAAGAAUCACAAAAGAAGUGAAUAUGCCCUGCCCCACCUUAACUGAUGACAUUCCACCACAAAAGAAGUGUAAAUGGCCGGUCCUUGCCUUAACUGAUGACAUUACCUUGUGAAAGUCCUUUUCCUGGCUCAUCCUGGCUCAAAAAGCACCCCCACUGAGCACCUUGCGACCCCCACUCCUGCCCGCCAGAGAACAAACCCCCUUUGACUGUAAUUUUCCUUUACCUACCCAAAUCCUAUAAAACGGCCCCACCCUUAUCUCCCUUCACUGACUCUCUUUUCGGACUCAGCCUGCCUGCACCCAGGGUGGUUUUCAUGGAGACAAAAGGUGGAGAAGGACAGUCCCGUGAAGUGGAUGCAACAGUUGAAGGUAACAGUAAGUCUUCAUCAAGAGCCAGACAUGCCUUAGAAUAACAGCAGGUGAAGAGAGAAAAAGUACAGGAAAACAAACAAGGAUGGAAGUAUGGUACAGGAGGGUGCACAGUGAAUAGAAGAAAAUGCUAUGGAAGACUACUCCUCACCGAGCAAAACCCGACUAGGUGGAACGUGGACUGAAGGUGGAGAUGAAUUCAAGAGUUUUACGGAGGGCACCUGUCACCUAAUCACAGCGCCAACGACGCUACCAAGAAAGCAUCAUGGCCUUUUCUUUUACAGGCACUUUGUUUACAGGACAAAUCAAGGAAAUCAAGGAAAAGGCAUCUUUUCUCUUCCAGAUCACUUUUAGAAUCCAAGAUUUGGUACACUGGGACAAAUAAAAACACAUAGCUAUGAAAGGGUCGAUGAGAUCCCAUUUGUAACUUGGCUAAAUAGAGUUGUUUCAGUACCUGACAACUUGAGUUCAAUCUGUAUUAUUCUGAAUGUAUAAUUGAUGUGGCCAUCAGUUUCCAGUAAAGGAACUUUUGUUUUGCUUUUUUCCCCCCACUUUCCCUCAGAAGGAAUGGCUUUCUCAUUAGGAAAUGUUCGCAUGCCCUCAGAAAAGGUGUUUGGAAUAGAAAGACUCCCCGGAAUCAGAUUAAAAUGCCAGCAGAGUUGAGUAUGUUCUUCCCCAUUUUGAGCUAGUUAAAUGAGAACUCACGCCAUUCUCCACACAGGGAACUUCUUAGGUAAAACUAUUAAAGCCAUGGAACCAUUUACUUAGUGUGGUUAUUAAAAUCCUAUGGCACUCUGGUGAACAGUGCUGUGGACUGGCAGCCAGAAUAUCUUUUCCAAUUCUAGCCCCUAUAUUUCCUGGAUUUAUAGAAGCAAAGCAACUAGGAAAGCUGUAGGUCUUCUCACCCAUUUUGUAGAUAUUUGUUGAGUACCCAAUGUUUUAGGCACUGGAGUACAAUAAUAAACCAGAUCUAGCACAGUCCUUGCCUUCACAGUUCAGAGUCAUGAAGGAAACAAACCAGUAAAAAGGCAAUUGUAACGUCAUACCCAUUAGCAUGGCCAUGAUAAAAGAGAGAGAGAGAGGAGGAAAAAAAGGAAAGAAAGAAGUGUUGGUGAGGACACUAAACAAUCAGAACCCUCAUACAGUGUUGGUGUCAAUGUAAAAUGAUGCGGCUACUCUAGAAAAGUCCUCCAAAAGCUCAAUACAGAAUCAGAAUAACCAUACAAUGUAGCAGUGUCACUGCUAGGUACAUACUCAAGACCAUUGAAAACAUGGCCAUACAAAAACUUGUACACAAAUGUUAAUAGAAGCAUUAUUUAUUAAUACUCAAAAAGUGGAAACAAUCCAAAUGUCCAUCAGCUGACGAAUGGAUAUACAAAAUGUGGUACAUACAUACAAUGGAAUAUUUCAACCAUAAAAUGAAAUGAAGUACUGAUACAUAAUACAACAUGGAUGAACCUUAGAAACAUAUUUAGUGCAAGAAGACAGA
rnacentral:lncRNA from 1 species